GAUGAACGCUAGCGGCAGGCCUAAUACAUGCAAGUCGAACGGAUAUAUGUUUUUCGGAAUAUAUAUUAGUGGCGCACGGGUGAGUAACACGUACAUAACUUGUCCUCAAGCGGGGGAUAGCCUUGGGAAACUGAGAGUAAUACCCCAUAGAAUUAUUGGACGGCAUCGUUUGAUAAUUAAAACUACGGUGCUUGGGGAUAGAUGUGCGUCUGAUUAGCUAGUUGGUGAGGUAACUGCUCACCAAGGCGACGAUCAGUAGGGGGCGUGAGAGCGUGGCCCCCCCACACGGGUACUGAGACACGGACCCGACUCCUACGGGAGGCAGC
rnacentral:rRNA from 1 species